rnacentral:rRNA from 1 species
CGUUAGCGGCGGACGGGUGAGUAACACGUGGGUAACCUACCUAUAAGACUGGGAUAACUUCGGGAAGCCGGAGCUAAUACCGGAUAAUAUUUCGAACCGCAUGGUUCGAUAGUGAAAGAUGGUUUUGCUAUCACUUAUAGAUGGACCCGCGCCGUAUUGGCUAGUUGGUAAGGUAACGGCUUACCAAGGCGACGAUACGUAGCCGACCUGAGAGGGUGAUCGGCCACACUGGAACUGAGACACGGUCCAGACUCCUACGGGAGGCAGCAGCC